UGCGAGGGGGGCAAGCGUUGUUCGGAAUUAUUGGGCGUAAAGGGCGCGUAGGCGGUGCGGUAAGUCACCUGUGAAACCUCUAGGCUCAACCUAGAGCCUGCAGGCGAAACUGCCGUGCUUGAGGGUGGGAGAGGUGCGUGGAAUUCCCGGUGUAGCGGUGAAAUGCGUAGAUAUCUGGAGGAACACCGGUGGCGAAGGCGGCAUCCUGGACCAUUACUGACGCUGAGUGAGCGAAAGCCAGGGGAGCAAACGGG
rnacentral:rRNA from 1 species